rnacentral:rRNA from 1 species
UACGGAGGGUGCAAACGUUGCUCGGAAUCAUUGGGCGUAAAGCGCACGUAGGCGGUCUGUUAAGUCGGAUGUGAAAGCCCCGGGCUCAACCCGGGAAGUGCAUACGAAACUGGUGGACUUGAAUAUGGAAGAGGGUCGCGGAAUUCCCGGUGUAGAGGUGAAAUUCGUAGAUAUCGGGAGGAACACCAGUGGCGAAGGCGGCGACCUGGGCCAAUAUUGACGCUAAUGUGCGAAAGCGUGGGGAGCAAACAGG